rnacentral:rRNA from 1 species
UACGAAGGGUGCAAGCGUUAAUCGGAAUUACUGGGCGUAAAGGGUGCGUAGGCGGUUCGUUAAGUCUGUCGUGAAAUCCCCGGGCUCAACCUGGGAAUGGCGAUGGAUACUGGCGAGCUAGAGUGUAUCAGAGGAUGGUGGAAUUCCCGGUGUAGCGGUGAAAUGCGUAGAGAUCGGGAGGAACAUCAGUGGCGAAGGUGGCCAUCUGGGACAACACUGACGCUGAAGCACGAAAGCGUGGGGAGCAAACAGG